UAGUCCAUACCGUAAACGGUGUACACUUGGUGUUGGAAGGGUCAGCCCUUUCAGUGCCGGAGCUAACGCAUUAAGUGUACCGCCUGGGGAGUACGGUCGCAAGACUAAAACUCAAAGAAAUUGACGGGGGCCCGCACAAGCGGAGGAGCAUGUGGCUUAAUUCGAUGCAACGCGAAGAACCUUACCCAGGCUUGACAUAUAACUGCAAGUCUUGUGAAAGCAAGAUUCUUUCGAAGGUGUUAUACAGGUGCUGCAUGGCUGUCGUCAGUUCGUGCCGUGAGGUGUUGGGUUAAGUCCCGCAACGAACGCAACCCCUGCGUCUAGUUGCCAACAGGUAAUGCUGGGAACUCUAGACGGACUGCCCGUGUAAUCGGGAGGAAGGUGGGGACGACGUCAAGUCAGUAUGGCCCUUACGCCUGGGGGCUGCACACGUGCUACAAUGGGCCAGUACAGAAGGGAAGCAAUACCGCGAGGGUGGGAGCAAAUCCCCAAAACUGGGCCCCAGUUCGGGAUUGAAGUCUGCAACUC
rnacentral:rRNA from 1 species